UACGGAGGGUGCGAGCGUUGUCCGGAAUUAUUGGGUUUAAAGGGUGCGUAGGCGGACUAAUAAGUCAGAGGUGAAAUCCAAUUGCUUAACAAUUGAACGGCCUUUGAUACUGUUAGUCUUGAAUUAGGUAUAGGUAGGCGGAAUUUAUUGUGUAGCGGUGAAAUGCAUAGAUACGAUAAAGAACUCCGAUAGCGUAGGCAGCUUACUGGACCUAUAUUGACGCUGAGGCACGAAAGCGUGGGUAGCGAACGGG
rnacentral:rRNA from 1 species